rnacentral:rRNA from 1 species
UUCCGGUUGAUCCUGCCGGAGGUCACUGCUAUUGGGAUUCGACUAAGCCAUGCGAGUCGAGAGGGUUCGGCCCUCGGCUGACGGCUCAGUAACACGUGGAUAAUCUGCCCUAGGGUGGAGGAUAACCUCGGGAAACUGAGAAUAAUACUCCAUAGGUCUAAGAUGCUGGAAUGCAUUUAGACUGAAAACUCCGGUGCCCUAGGAUGAGUCUGCGGACUAUCAGGUUGUAGUCAGGGUAAAGACCUGACUAGCCUACGACGGAUACGGGUUGUGAGAGCAAUAACCCGGAGAUGAUAUCUGAGACACGAUAUCAGGCCCUACGGGGCGCAGCAGGCGCGAAAACUUCACACUGUGCGAAAGCGCGAUGAGGGAAUCCCAAGUGCUUGCACGUAAGUGUAAGCUGUUUUUAUGUUUAAAAUGCAUAGAGAGUAAGGGCUGGGUAAGACGGGUGCCAGCCGCCGCGGUAAUACCUGCAGCUCAAGUGGUGAUCAUUAUUAUUGGGCCUAAAACGUUCGUAGCCGGUUUAGUAAAUGCCUGGGUAAAUCGUGUAGCUUAACUAUACGGAUUCCGGGUAGACUGCUAAACUUGAGACCGGGAGAGGCUAGAGGUACUCCUGGGGUAGAGGUGAAAUUCUGUAAUCCAAGGGGGACCACCAGUGGCGAAGGCGUCUAGCUAGAACGGGUCUGACGGUGAGGGACGAAGCCCUGGGGCGCAAACCGGAUUAGAUACCCGGGUAGUCCAGGGUGUAAACGCUGCUUGCUUGAUGUUAGUCGGGCUCCGAGCCCGAUUAGUGUCGGAGAGAAGUUGUUAAGCAAGCUGCCUGGGGAGUACGGUCGCAAGGCUGAAACUUAAAGGAAUUGGCGGGGGAGCACAGCAACGGGUGGAGCGUGCGGUUUAAUUGGAUUCAACG